rnacentral:rRNA from 1 species
UACGGAGGGGACUAGCGUUGUUCGGAAUUACUGGGCGUAAAGCGCACGUAGGCGGAUUUGUAAGUCAGGGGUGAAAUCCCGGGGCUCAACCCCGGAACUGCCUUUGAUACUGCGAAUCUCGAGUCCGGAAGAGGUGAGUGGAAUUCCUAGUGUAGAGGUGAAAUUCGUAGAUAUCGGAAGGAACAUCAGUGGCGAAGGCGACUUCCUGGAAUAAUACUGACACUGAGGAGCGAAAGCGUGGGGAGCGAACAGG